AUACUUACCUGGCAGGGGAGAUACCAUGAUCACCAAGGUGGUUUUCCCAGGGCGAGGCUUAUCCAUUGCACUCCAGAUGUGCUGACCCCUGUGAUUUCCCCAAAAGUGGGAAACUCGACUGCGUAAUUCAUUGUAGUGGGGGACUGCGUUCGUGCUUUCCCCUG
rnacentral:snRNA from 1 species